rnacentral:rRNA from 1 species
GACGAACGCCGGCGGCGCGCCUAACACAUGCAAGUCGAACGGUGAAGAGGAGCUUGCUCCUCGGAACAGUGGCGGACGGGUGAGUAACACGUGAGCAACCUGGCUCUAAGAGGGGGACAACAGUUGGAAACGACUGCUAAUACCGCAUGACGUAUCGGGAUGGCAUCUUCCUGAUACCAAAGAUUUUAUCGCUUAGAGAUGGGCUCGCGUCUGAUUAGAUAGUUGGCGGGGUAACGGCCCACCAAGUCGACGAUCAGUAGCCGGACUGAGAGGUUGAACGGCCACAUUGGGACUGAGACACGGCCCAGACUCCUACGGGAGGCAGCAGUGGGGGAUAUUGGACAAUGGGGGCAACCCUGAUCCAGCGACGCCGCGUGAGGGAAGAAGGUUUUCGGAUUGUAAACCUCUGUUGACGGAGAAAAAAAUGAUGGUAUCCGUUUAGAAAGCCACGGCUAACUACGUG